rnacentral:rRNA from 1 species
CACGUAGGCGGCUUGGCAAGUCGAUCGUGAAAGCCCGGGGCUUAACCCCGGGACGCCGGUCGAUACUGCCAUGGCUUGGGUCCGGUAGAGGAGAAUGGAAUUCUCGGUGUAGCGGUGAAAUGCGCAGAUAUCGGGAGGAACACCAGUAGCGAAGGCGGUUCUCUGGGCCGGUACCGACGCUGAGGAGCGAAAGCGUGGGGAGCAAACAGGAUUAGAUACCCUGGUAGUCC